rnacentral:rRNA from 1 species
UCUUAGUGGCGGACGGGUGAGUAACACGUGAGCAACCUGCCUCUGAGAGAGGGAUAGCUUCUGGAAACGGAUGGUAAUACCUCAUAACAUAGCGGUACCGCAUGAUACUGCUAUCAAAGAUUUAUCGCUCAGAGAUGGGCUCGCGUCUGAUUAGCUAGAUGGUGAGGUAACGGCUCACCAUGGCGACGAUCAGUAGCCGGACUGAGAGGUUGAACGGCCACAUUGGGACUGAGACACGGCCCAGACUCC